AUCUUCUUAUAAACAUAGUUCCUCCUUGUUCUUGAUGAAAUCAAAUGAUUUGAUCACAUCAUUGAAACAAGUGUUCCAACUCUGAGAUGCUUGCUUUAAUCCAUUACAGCUUGUACAUUCAUCUAUCAGAUCACAUUAUUGUACGCCACAAUAGCAAGUAAUGUUUGAAUGCUUUUGGCAUAGCCACAUGUAAAAAAGUUUUUUGAUAGUCAAUGCCUUCGUAUUGACUAUAACCCUUCACCAUGAGCCUUGCCUUAUAAGUCUCUAUCUAUCCAUCCAAACCUCUUCUUUUUACAGAUCCAUUUGCAUCCAAUAAGUACUAUACCUAC
rnacentral:lncRNA from 1 species